rnacentral:rRNA from 1 species
AAAUUGAAGAGUUUGAUCAUGGCUCAGAUUGAACGCUGGCGGCAGGCCUAACACAUGCAAGUCGAACGGUAACAGGAAACAGCUUGCUGUUUCGCUGACGAGUGGCGGACGGGUGAGUAAUGUCUGGGAAACUGCCUGAUGGAGGGGGAUAACUACUGGAAACGGUAGCUAAUACCGCAUAACGUCGCAAGACCAAAGAGGGGGACCUUCGGGCCUCUUGCCAUCGGAUGUGCCCAGAUGGGAUUAGCUAGUAGGUGGGGUAACGGCUCACCUAGGCGACGAUCCCUAGCUGGUCUGAGAGGAUGACCAGCCACACUGGAACUGAGACACGGUCCAGACUCCUACGGGAGGCAGCAGUGGGGAAUAUUGCACAAUGGGCGCAAGCCUGAUGCAGCCAUGCCGCGUGUAUGAAGAAGGCCUUCGGGUUGUAAAGUACUUUCAGCGGGGAGGAAGGGAGUGAAGUUAAUACCUUUGCUCAUUGACGUUACCCGCAGAAGAAGCACCGGCUAACUCCGUGCCAGCAGCCGCGGUAAUACGGAGGGUGCAAGCGUUAAUCGGAAUUACUGGGCGUAAAGCGCACGCAGGCGGUUUGUUAAGUCAGAUGUGAAAUCCCCGGGCUCAACCUGGGAACUGCAUCUGAUACUGGCAAGCUUGAGUCUCGUAGAGGGGGGUAGAAUUCCAGGUGUAGCGGUGAAAUGCGUAGAGAUCUGGAGGAAUACCGGUGGCGAAGGCGGCCCCCUGGACGAAGACUGACGCUCAGGUGCGAAAGCGUGGGGAGCAAACAGGAUUAGAUACCCUGGUAGUCCACGCCGUAAACGAUGUCGACUUGGAGGUUGUGCCCUUGAGGCGUGGCUUCCGGAGCUAACGCGUUAAGUCGACCGCCUGGGGAGUACGGCCGCAAGGUUAAAACUCAAAUGAAUUGACGGGGGCCCGCACAAGCGGUGGAGCAUGUGGUUUAAUUCGAUGCAACGCGAAGAACCUUACCUGGUCUUGACAUCCACGGAAGUUUUCAGAGAUGAGAAUGUGCCUUCGGGAACCGUGAGACAGGUGCUGCAUGGCUGUCGUCAGCUCGUGUUGUGAAAUGUUGGGUUAAGUCCCGCAACGAGCGCAACCCUUAUCCUUUGUUGCCAGCGGUCCGGCCGGGAACUCAAAGGAGACUGCCAGUGAUAAACUGGAGGAAGGUGGGGAUGACGUCAAGUCAUCAUGGCCCUUACGACCAGGGCUACACACGUGCUACAAUGGCGCAUACAAAGAGAAGCGACCUCGCGAGAGCAAGCGGACCUCAUAAAGUGCGUCGUAGUCCGGAUUGGAGUCUGCAACUCGACUCCAUGAAGUCGGAAUCGCUAGUAAUCGUGGAUCAGAAUGCCACGGUGAAUACGUUCCCGGGCCUUGUACACACCGCCCGUCACACCAUGGGAGUGGGUUGCAAAAGAAGUAGGUAGCUUAACCUUCGGGAGGGCGCUUACCACUUUGUGAUUCAUGACUGGGGUGAAGUCGUAACAAGGUAACCGUAGGGGAACCUGCGGUUGGAUCACCUCCUUACCUUAAAGAAGC